rnacentral:rRNA from 1 species
UACAGAGGGGGCAAGCGUUGUUCGGAAUUACUGGGCGUAAAGGGCGCGUAGGCGGCCUUCUAAGUCGAACGUGAAAUCCCCGGGCUCAACCCGGGAACUGCGUCCGAUACUGGAAGGCUUGAAUCCGGGAGAGGGAUGCGGAAUUCCAGGUGUAGCGGUGAAAUGCGUAGAUAUCUGGAGGAACACCGGUGGCGAAGGCGGCAUCCUGGACCGGUAUUGACGCUGAGGCGCGAAAGCCAGGGGA